UGGCAACAUCGUGCACUUCAGGAACGUCUCCACUCGAUGGAGGCGCCAUGUUCGCUUAAUCGCUCCGCUGUGUAUUGAAGCGUGUUUGCGGCGCAGUUGAACCAUGGAGACAUGAGCGAGGUCAAUGGAUCUGCCCGUGUUGGUGGGGGACCUGAAGCUGGUCAUCAAUGAACCAAAGCGCUUGCCCUUGUUUGAUGCCAUCCGACCUCUUAUCCUACUAAAACGGCCUGCGACCUGCUCACCCCAAAGAGGUCACGGAAGCUGAAAGAGGUGCGUCUGGACCGGACUCAUCGUGAUGGACUGGGUCUGAGCGUCCGUGGAGGGCUGGAGUUUGG